CACGUAGGGUGCGAGCGUUGUCCGGAAUCAUUGGGCGUAAAGAGCGUGUAGGCGGCUUGGCAAGUCUGACGUGAAAGCCCGCGGCUCAACCGCGGAUUGUCGUUGGAAACUGCCUCGCUAGAGUCCGGAAGAGGAGAGCGGAAUUCCUGGUGUAGCGGUGGAAUGCGCAGAUAUCAGGAAGAACACCCGUGGCGAAGGCGGCUCUCUGGGACGGUACUGACGCUGAGACGCGAAAGCGUGGGGAGCGAACAGG
rnacentral:rRNA from 1 species